UCCACUUCGUUCAGGGUUGCUAGAAGAGGUCAGGCAGGGGAGUUUGGAGUUGUGGGUCUCAGGGAAGUGCAGAUGAGGGAAUGCAGAAGGUGGGAGAGAGAAGGGCCCUGAAGAGGAGGGAAGGGCCCUGAAGAGGAGGGACUGGGAACUGUGGGCUGUGGAGAAAGCAGGAGCAGGCAGAGUGGAGGAAGUGAGCUGGCUGGGUGCUGUCCAGCAAGGGAGAGUCUGUAAACGAAUGUCUUCCCUCAAAACGCACUUCAGCAGCUGGCACCCUGCCUUUCUCCCCAGCACCCAGCUUCCCCCUGAUGCCCUCACUUGUCACAGGGGGUGGAGCCCAAAGAGGGGCUGUGGUAGACAGGCCAUUGCAGAGGUCUCCUAGGCGGCACACUCGGGUGUAGGAGGUGACAGACAGCCCCGGGCCAGUCCUGUGCUCUGUGACUUUGGCCUCUUGGUCCUCAGCAGUUGUGCAGCCCUUGGUGAGAACCAAAUUCACCUUCUCCCCUGGACAGAUAUAAAUGGGCAGGUUGAGGCAGAGGACAGGGCAGUUGCCCAACAGAGCUAAGGGGGCGGGGCCAGGAAAGGGGGCGUGUCUGUACCCAGAGGGCCUUUCUCACCGUUCUCUAUCAUCAUCAGCGUGUCUUGGCAGCCUUCACCAACAUCACAGGUUGUCUGGCCAGCUGUCCAUUGGAGCGGCAGCUGUGAUACAUCCCUUGUGAUCUCCAAUGUCCCAUGCUGGCAUUUCAGAGCCUCUGCAGCUAGAAAGAGGAGAGAGAGAGAGAGAGAGAGAGAGAGAGAGAGAGAGAGAGAGAGAGAGCAAAUCCCUCUCAGUAUUGAACUGAUCCUGCUUGGUGGGACUUCACUCACAGGCAGCAACAAGUGGACCCUUCCAGAAUCUUCUCUCAUGCUCUUCAAGGCAGGAAGUCUUGGUGCCUGUGACAUCCAGCCCAUGCCCUCAAGUCCCCGGAUCUAGCUGUGGGAAAACCAGCCAACAUGAAGAUUAAUGUUGGUUGAACUCAGUCCCCUCUUGAAGGCCUAAAGUUAGAGAGACACAGGCAGAUGAGGACAUGGAGACAGGGUCAGAGCAGACCGUGCUUCCAGGUCCCCAAGAACCUCAGUGCUGGACACAUCAUUGCAGAAGUCCCUAUGGUGACACACGCGGGUGUAGGAGACGAUAGAGAGCCCGGGACCGGUCCUGAGCCAGGAGCAUCACCAGGUCUUGGCAACCCUCACCGACCUCACAGGUUUUCUCACCGGUUUUCCACUCAAGGGGCAGCUCCGAGGCAUUCCGCACAGCCUCUAUUAAGGCCCUUUGACAGCUCAGAGCUGGUAUACCUGGGAUGAGAAGAUCAGCUCCAUAUCAUCAGAUGGUUACCUUGGGCCACUUCCUGGGACAGACGUCCCCUUCCAGAAUAAUACAAGAACCAGUGUGAUCACUUCCUGAACAAGGUGAUAUCUAUGGAGGAGUACCCUAUUUCUUGAGGGGCUGGAGAGACAGUGGUUCAAUGCUUUACCAUCGAACUGGCUGCUCUUACAGAAACCCCAGAUUCAGUACCAGCACCCACAUGGCGGCUCACAAUCACCUCUCACUCCAGUCCCAGGGCAUCUGACAAGCUCUUCAGACUCUUUUGGCACUGGAUAUGCAUGUGAUAUACAUGCAUGCCUGAAGGCAAAACACUUUUGCACAUAAAUAAUAAAGUUGCAUAUUUCUUGA